AAGUCGUAACAAGGUUUCCGUAGGUGAACCUGCGGAAGGAUCAUUAAUGAAAAGCUUCGGCGAUUCUAAACCCUUAUUCUCUUACCACGUUGCCUUGGUUUCUUCGGAAGCCGAGAUUAUUUUAAAAUUCGAUUAUUGAUGAAUCUGAAUAAAGUUAAUUAUUAAAA
rnacentral:misc_RNA from 1 species